GCCGGCGUAACUCAGCUGGUAGAGUAGCUGAUUUGUAAUCAGCCAGUCAGCGGUUCGAGUCCGCUCGCCGGCU
rnacentral:tRNA from 1 species